GGAGGGCCCAGGGGCUGAAAGCUCCUGUCCAGACCCUUCGGCUGAGCAUCCCUGAGACCGGAGACCCGCCUCGCAGGCGAGGGAUGCCGUGGCCGCCAGGAAAGCGGGGCUCCGCCCGCACCCUCACUCCCGUCACCCUGAAGUCCAGCGCCUUCUCCACCAGGGGUGUGACUCAGACUGCGAGCAUGUGAGGACAUCCCCCUGCAUCUGCGGCCACAGGCCCACACGCUGGGCUGGGGGUGGGGGGAGUCCAGACCCCACUGGCCUCCUGGGGGCGGGAAGGUGCAAAAGGAGGCCAUUGCCCUCACCUCCCAGGCUGGGCAUCCUGAAAACGGGUGCCAGGACCGGCCCGGGUUCUGGGGCCUGAGCUGCUGUGGUCACUCUCGUCAGCUCUCUGCCCCGGAUCCCCUCAUGGUCACCUGUCCCCUCGGAGCAAGGGCCGGCUGUGUGGGGAUGUCAGUGCCCCAGCGGGGCCCCCUCUGGGCCAGGCCAGGCAGCACUCUGCAGGGGGAUUUCGCCGGCGAGGUGGCUGGGCCGCCUGUGCUCCUGUGCCCUCCAGGACGAGGCUGGCCUUGCUUUAUUCAGAUACUUUACGUUCUGCCCUGCUGAGGAAUCCACGUUCUCAGGGGACAGAUUCUCAGGGACACACCUGAGUCUCGGCGAAGCCCUGGGUGCCAGCGGCCCAGUUCUGCAGGUGGUGGGGCUCCCCGAUGGGAUUAGCCGCGGUGCUGGCGGGACUCUAAGGAGCCGGUACACUGGGCACCUUCGAGGUUCUUCCUCCGGCUCCAAGAUCCUGGCAGGGCCCAGUGAGGAGACACUCUGAGCUCCGUGGGACCCAAGACUCUGACUGAGGACAAAGGAAGCCCUUGGAUCAGCCUUCGUUGGAGAGCAAGGACCACAGUCUCCUCUGGGCGCUUCUACCUCGUCAAGAUCUCAGCCUUCGUCCUGCAAGCGGAGGCCAGGAUGCUGGCCUGAGGCCCCCGACUUCUGGCACCGGCCCGAGCACAAGGCCUCGGGAACUGGGACUGGCUGGCGCCUGAAGCCCGCGGUGGCCGAGUGCCCCUGGCUGCCCCUCCUGCUGCUGGUGGACAUCCGGCCAACUCGGGCCGCCUGCAGCGGUCUCUAGGUCACUCGGGGCAGUGCAAGCUACUUGACCGGGUGGCCUUAAGGUUAUAAGAAAAGUCAUGAAGAUGAGAAAACCCGCAGUCAGGAGGGACCGCAAGCCACAUGUCCACCCACCCGGCAAUUAUCAGGUGGGCUGACGCCCCCCGUGCGCCCAGAAGACCCACGUGAUCUUCCGCAGCAGGGAAGGUCCUGGUGGUGUCCUCCGCAGGCUGGCUCCAGCGGCCACGGCCCGCCCGUUCCUGGGCUUUCUGAAGAUCCUUCGUGGGUGCUGGCUCUGACGGAGACAAGGCUGUGCUCACCCAGCCUCUUAUGUCCCCGUUAGUUGCCCUGGAGUUGGGGACUCACCCAGCUGGCUCCAGUUCUGUGCCCAGGGAUGAUGGGGACACAGAGGCAGCCCCCAGCCUGGGAAACCAGUGCUUGUCAGGAAGGACAAUCUCAGGACCUGGGGGGGUGGAGGGAAGGGCGGGGAGGGGCCCUGCACACACAGACCUGGGUGGGUGGAGGGAAGGGGAGGGAAGGGAAGGGAAGGGAGGGGCUCUGCACACAGGUGACCUGAGGCAGGCGGCCCUGGGCUCAGUGGCCUCCCUGCAGGGUCCCACCCCGGACCCUGUUCUCUAAACCAAACCCCCAGGGACGCACCGACUGACCAGCAGCUGGUGGGCAGGCAGAGGGUCCUGCUGAGACGUGGGCACCCCUCACCCCAGGCCCCGCCUUCUCGUCUCCUGCUGGUGGUCCUGACUGAAGGCGGGAGACUGGGAGGAGGCAGCAGCCUGGGCCUGGAGCUUGGCGUGAUGGGGGCCGGGAGGGCCCUCGGUGGGGAAGGACAGUGGGAGGGGCGUUGAGAUGUUGACUGUGCCGCCCCUGCACAGACCCCGGAUCAGUGUUCCGCACCAUCCGAGUGAUGGUGCCUGGACACAGGCGAGCUUGGGAACCUCAGAGGGAAAAGCCGAGGCAGCUGCCGGGCUGGAAAGUGGAAGAGAGUCGAGUAAACAGCUGGAGCCUCAGCCCUUAGUGCCACUGGGCCUGGUCUGGCGGAUCGACAGGAGAGUCAAAUUUUACUUCGAACACCAGAGAUUCGGGCCACAUGGAUGGACCUGGAGAUCAUCAUUCUAAGGGAAGAAAGUCGGACAGAGAAAGACAAAUAUCAUAUGAUAUUAUUUUUAUGUGUAAUCUAAAAUAUGAUGCAAAUAAACUUAUUUCCAAAACAGAAACUGAAUCAGAGACAUAGAAAACAAACUUAA